GCCAGCAGCUAGCUCUCUGCAACUCUCACAUGGUCGCUCACUGAAGCUAAGCAUUGCUGUGCCCGGUCAGUACCUGGAUGGGAGACCAAAUGGGAAAGCUAGGUUGCUGCCGGAA
ensembl:rRNA 5S_rRNA 5S ribosomal RNA